UAUCGCUUAUGGGUGGUCUCGCGUCAGAUUAGAUAGUUGGUGAGGUAACGGCUCACCAAGUCAACGAUCUGUAGCCGAACUGAGAGGUUGAUCGGCCGCAUUGGGACUGAGACACGGCCCAGACUCCUACGGGAGGCAGCAGUGGGGAAUAUUGCGCAAUGGGGGCAACCCUGACGCAGCAACGCCGCGUGCAGGAAGAAGGUCUUCGGAUUGUAAACUGUUGUCGCAAGGGAAGAAGACAGUGACGGUACCUUGUGAGAAAGUCACGGCUAACUACGUGCCAGCAGCCGCGGUAAUACGUAGGUGACAAGCGUUGUCCGGAUUUACUGGGUGUAAAGGGCGCGUAGGCGGACUGUCAAGUCAGUCGUGAAAUACCGGGGCUUAACCCCGGGGCUGCGAUUGAAACUGACAGCCUUGAGUAUCGGAGAGGAAAGCGGAAUUCCUAGUGUAGCGGUGAAAUGCGUAGAUAUUAGGAGGAACACCAGUGGCGAAGGCGGCUUUCUGGACGACAACUGACGCUGAGGCGCGAAAGUGUGGGGAGCAAACAGGAUUAGAUACCCUGGUAGUCCACACCGU
rnacentral:rRNA from 1 species